rnacentral:rRNA from 1 species
CUUCGGGCGCCGACGAGUGGCGGACGGGUGAGUAAUGCAUAGGAAUCUGCCCACGGGUGGGGGAUAACUCUCCGAAAGGAGAGCUAAUACCGCAUAAGCCCUUCGGGGGAAAGCGGGGGAUCUUCGGACCUCGCGCCGGUGGAUGAGCCUGCGUCGGAUUAGCUAGUUGGUAGGGUAAAGGCCUACCAAGGCGACNAUCCGUAGCUGGUCUGAGAGGACNACCAGCCACACUGGGACUGAGACACGGCCCAGACUCCUACGGGAGGCAGCAGUGGGGAAUAUUGGACAAUGGGCGAAAGCCUGAUCCAGCAAUACCGCGUGUGUGAAGAAGGCCUGAGGGUUGUAAAGCACUUUCAAUAGGAAGGAAUACCUGCCGGUUAAUACCCGGUAGACUGACAUUACCUAUACAAGAAGCACCGGCUAACUCCGUGCCAGCAGCCGCGGUAAUACGGAGGGUGCAAGCGUUAAUCGGAAUUACUGGGCGUAAAGCGUGCGUAGGCGGUUGUUUAAGUCAGAUGUGAAAGCCCUGGGCUUAACCUGGGAACUGCAUUUGAUACUGGGCAACUAGAGUUUAGUAGAGGGGAGUGGAAUUUCAGGUGUAGCGGUGAAAUGCGUAGAGAUCUGAAGGAACACCAGUGGCGAAGGCGGCUCCCUGGACUAAAACUGACGCUGAGGUACGAAAGCGUGGGUAGCAAACAGGAUUAGAUACCCUGGUAGUCCACGCCGUAAACGAUGUCAACUAACUGUUGGGUUCUUAAAGAACUUAGUAGUGGAGCUAACGUAUUAAGUUGACCGCCUGGGAGUACGGCCGCAAGGCUAAAACUCAAAUGAAUUGACGGGGGCCCGCACAAGCGGUGGAGCAUGUGGUUUAAUUCGAUGCAACGCGAAGAACCUUACCUACCCUUGACAUCCAUAGAAUC